GGAACUGCCCUGGGCAUGGGAGACCACGAGGAAAAGGGAGGAAAAGGGAGCUGGGUCCAGCUGUGCCUCUGCAGCCACCCCUUAAUUAAUGAGCUAAUUAAGCAUGCUCACACAGAACCACUAAGGUUGGACAAAACCUUUAAAGCCACCAAAUCCAACCACUGCCACAUCACCCUCGUGUCCCCAAGUGCCACCCGACCCAGGACACACAGGAGCUCUGAGCUUCACCAUUGAACAACGCUUUGUUUUUUUUUUAGUUUUUUCCUUUUUUAAAGAAUUCCCAUGAGGGGAGGGGGGUCGGGGUCAGUAGUGUGAGUGCAGUGGGGGGGUGGCCGUGUCCCCAGGCUGUCCCCAGGUCACUGCAUGUAGGCGUAGCGCCAGUCCCCCAGCGGCACGUGCGUCUCCUUGAUGGCCUGGGGGGACGUCCAGCGCAGCAGGUAAUGGGGACCCCCGGGCUUGUCAUUGGUGCCUGUGGGGACACACAGGGGUGGUGACACCAGGGGGGUGGCAGGGACAUGGAGGGACACAGAGGGAUGGGAGCACAUGGAGGGACAAGGGGCACAAGAGGGACAUGGACAGGAGAUACAGGAGGGACACAGAGGGAACACGAGGGACAUGGAGGGAUGGGAGGGACACAAAGGAUGGGGACACAGAAGGACAUAGGGCACAGGAGGGACAGGGAGAGAUGGGAGGGACACAGGGGGACACAGGGACAGGAGGGACACAGAAGGACAGGAGAUACAGGAGGGACAUGGAGGGACACAAGGGACAUGGAGGGACAAGGAGGAUGGGGACAUGGAGGGACGCAGGGCAGAAGAGGGACAGGAGGGACAUAGAGGGAACAGGAGGUACAGGAGGGACAUGGAGGGACACAGAGGGAUGGGAAGGACACAGAGGGACACGAAGGGAUGGGGACAUGGAAUGACAGGAGGGACCUGGAGGGACACAGAGGGACACGGAGGAAUAGAAGGGACAUGGGGUACAGAAGGGACAAAGAGGAACAGGGAGGGAUGGGAGGGACACAGGGACAGGAGGUACAGGAGGGACACAGAGGGACAGGAGGGACAUACAGGGAACAGGAGGAACAGGGAGGGAUGGGAGAGACACAGAAAGACAGGAGGGACAGGAGGGACAUGGAGGGACACAGAAGGAUGGGAGGACAUGGAGGGACACAGGGAUGGGAGUGACACAGAACAGGGACAUGGAAGGACAAGGAGGGACAUGGAAGGACAUGGAGGAUGGCAGGGACAGGAGAGACACAGGGGACAGAAGGGACAUGGAGGGACAGGGAGGAUGGGGACAAGGAAGGACAUGGAGGGGCAGGAGGACACGAGACACAGAGAUCAGGAGGGACACAGGAGGGCCACAGGGGGGCUGUCCAGCCCCGCUGGUGUCACCUGAGAUGCGGGCUCCCCCGAAGGGCUGCUGGGCCACCACGGCCCCCGUGGAUUUGUCGUUGAUGUAGACGUUG
rnacentral:lncRNA from 1 species